UACGUAGGGGGCAAGCGUUGUCCGGAUUCAUUGGGCGUAAAGAGCGUGUAGGCGGCCAGGUAGGUCGGUUGUGAAAACUGGAGGCUCAACCUUCAGACGUCGACCGAAACCAUCUGGCUAGAGUCCGGGAGAGGAGAGUGGAAUUCCUGGUGUAGCGGUGAAAUGCGCAGAUAUCAGGAAGAACACCCGUGGCGAAAGCGGCUCUCUGGAACGGUACUGACGCUGAGUCGCGAAAGCGUGGGGAGCGAACAGG
rnacentral:rRNA from 1 species